GCAACUUCUUUUAGUACCAAAAAAAUAUUUAAACUUGGUAGAACUUUUUUAAUUGUUCUACAACAAAUUAAAUUUAUUUUAUAUUUAUAUUUUUAAAAUCUUGGAAAAUAUACUUUCCAAGCAUAUGUUCUUGUCAGAGGCGGCACUCUAGUGUUUUUGCCUUCAAUUUCCAUGCAAGCUAGACAAGAUUUGGCCAAUAAAUGUUGAUGGAAAGUGGGUUUUAACGACAUUACCACAAAAUCUAUAAGGAGCGUUUGGAAUAUGUAAUGCUGACCUAUCGUUUCUAUACAUUUUCUUAACUCAAAGAGUUUACGAGUUUCAAAGAACGUUUAACGAACAGUUUACAUUACGUAGCAAUUUCUGUAGAGGCUCAAUUGUGUUAUUUUGUCAUGUUUUUUGUUGCUGCGCUUAAUCGCCUCUUUUGUUGUUCACUUCCAUUCAAUAUUAAUUGCUAAACAUUAUCGAGCCGCUGCUUACAAUGCCAAGGAAUGUCAAAAUUCGAUUUCCACACCUGCCGAAGAAAUCGCCGUUAAUGAAUCGUUGUGUGAUUCAUGACCACUUUAGUGUGGGCGAUACCAAUUUCGCUGCAAUGUAAAGUGGUCAGUGAUAAUGUAGUGGCCGUGGUUAAUUUGUGCGAAGCGACCAUUAAAGGAAGUGACGAAGUCACCGAGGAUGGUUUGUGGCAAAGACGUGAAUGGAAUUUAUAGUAAUUUUUUUAUGAAGAUUGUGUUUUUUUUUUUUCAUUUAUAGUUUUAAAUAUUUUCUAAAUUUUAUAUAAAAUUUACUGUCCUUACUUUUUUGAUUUAUUUAAUAAUUAAUUUUCAAGUAAAUUAAGUAAAAACAAGUUUAAUUACAAUGAAAUUAUAAAAAUAAUUACAAAAGAUAAAACUGAACAUUUAAAAAGAACUUUUAAUAACGUUUUCUUUCAACCAUUCAUUGUUAUUUAUUUUGAUCCUGAUUUGUAUACAUAAAUACAAUACUAUUAUUUCCAAGUAUUACCGAAAAAAA